GAGAAAUGCAAGAUGUUUCAGAUUUGCAGCUGAGAUUUCCUACAGGAAUGCAAUGAGCUGGACCUGAAGGGAUACUUGCUCCUCCAUCACGUUUCCAGCAGUUUCUGGAUGACAGAUAAGCAGUGCUGAGGAUUCCCUGCCAAGUACACCUGACAAGUAUGAAAAGAGCACAGAAGGUAUCUUCGAGCAGCCUGAAAACUGUUUCUAGUUAAAUAUGGUGGAACCACAUAUUUUAUUUGGAACAGUGAUCAUAGAUGUGGACAAUCCCCAAAAAGCAACAAUAUUGAAUCAGCAUAAGAGAAUGGUGUCCUUCUUCUGCAUCC